CCUAACCUUAUCAGAUCUUUCUAUCUCGCGUUCUCGCCCGCUCUCACUCUCUCUUUCGAAGAGAACUCCGCGAACGUUUCUCCCACAAAUGCUCGUCUUGGCUUGCAGCCGACCACUCCAUAGUUUUCGACCUCCGAGAUGCUUCGGCCGGCGAGAGCUCUUCAUCGAUGGUGUCUCCUCUAUCUCCUCCCAAAGACCCACCGCGCCUGCUCCUCAUCUCGACCUCGCCGCCUCUUCUCGCUCGUCAUCUGAUGAACAGACUUUUAACCUGGAUGACACUAUGAAAACUGUUUUCCCAUUUACUUCUCGGCGAAUGCUGUUUGCUGGUUCAACAGUAUGGUUUUGCUUGCACACUUCAAAGUACUUUCCAGCAGCUCUUGCAUUGGAAGAACCAUCUAUCACAACUGAAGAUGUCACACCUCGUGUUUUCUUAUCUGGGCCGCUCUUUCCUUCAGAAGAAAGAACUGUGGAAAUUUUUGAGAAGAACACUUACUCUGUCGUCAACAUCUUUGAUGUAACAUUACGCCCUCGGCUUAAUGCAACCGGUGUUGUUGAGGUGCCUGAAGGAAAUGGUUCUGGAGUUGUUUGGGAUAAAUUUGGACACAUUGUGACAAAUUAUCACGUUGUUGGCAAUGCUCUUUCAAAGAAUCCAAACCCUGAUCAAGUUGUUGCACGUGUGAACAUCCUUGUUGCUGAAGGGGUACAAAAGACCUUUGAGGGUAGGCUGAUUGGUGCAAAUCGUGCUAAAGAUCUUGCUGUCUUAAAGGUGGAUGCCUCUGCGGAUCUUUUGAAGCCAAUUAAUGUCGGUCAGUCUUCAGUCCUAAGAGUUGGCCAGCAGUGUUUAGCAAUUGGAAAUCCUUUUGGUUUUGAUCAUACUCUUACUGUUGGAGUUAUUAGUGGACUGAAUCGCGAUAUUGUUAGCAAAACUGGAGUGACAAUUGGAGGUGGCAUUCAGACAGAUGCAGCCAUCAAUCCUGGAAAUAGUGGUGGUCCUUUGCUGGACUCGAAAGGAAACAUGAUUGGAAUUAACACAGCAAUAUUCACAAAUACAGGGGCCUCAGCAGGUGUAGGAUUCGCCAUCCCGUCUUCAACUGUACUUAGGAUUGUCCCUCAGCUAAUCCAAUUUGGAAAAGUUGUGCGUGCUGGUUUAAAUAUGGAGAUAGCGCCAGAUCUAGUUGCUAAUCAACUUAAUGUUCGGAAUGGAGCUCUUGUGCUGCAGAUUCCUGAGAAUAGUGUUGCAGCCAAAGCAGGUUUGCUACCUACCACAAGAGGUUUAGCUGGUAAUAUUGUUCUUGGGGAUGUUAUCGUUGCGGUAGAUAAUAAACCUGUUCGCAGCAAAGCUGAUCUAUUGAAGAUUUUGGAUGAGUAUAAUGUUGGAAACACUGUUCUGCUUAAGAUUCAGAGGGGAAGUGAGAAUUUAGACCUACCUGUAGUUUUAGAGGAGACGAGCAUCUGACUGGUCCAGAAUCACCCCCCAUUUGAUAAGUUCUUAUUCCAUUCUGAGCUUGCAAAAUAAUAGAAAAACUGCAGAACAUGUAUAUCACGUCAAGAAAUUUGCAACCGAGAUCUGCAGAUCCAGACUUCUUGAAACCGUAUGUGUGGUUUUGUCCAUUACUUCAAGGGUUUGAAAGUAGCUCCAAGGCUCUUUAUUGUCAUGGCUAUGGAGGACAAUGCUUCAUUAAUUAUGAAGGCAAUUGUCCUCGAGGCACAAAAGACAUGAUUCUCUGCAACUAAGAAGGAUAUGUAGUUUAUGCAAAAUAUGGAUGUGUUGAACAAAAAGAUACUAUCAUGGUGAAAUGGUGGCAGUAUGCUUUAUGAACUCCAUGAGCUUCCAUCUAGAUUUGAAGUAUAAAUUACUUGUAAGUCAUUCGAUAUGUCUUGGUCUCUACUACAAGUACUUAUAAGAUAGGUGCUUAGUACUCGAUACAUGAUCGAUGUAAACCUAUGCUCUUCUUGUAAGAGAUGGAUUCUUAUGUUUCUCCA